rnacentral:rRNA from 1 species
CAGUCGCCGCGGUAAUACGUAGGUCCCGAGCGUUGUCCGGAUUUAUUGGGCGUAAAGCGAGCGCAGGCGGUUUGAUAAGUCUGAAGUUAAAGGCUGCGGCUCAACCAUAGUUCGCUUUGGAAACUGUCAAACUUGAGUGCAGAAGGGGAGAGUGGAAUUCCAUGUGUAGCGGUGAAAUGCGUAGAUAUAUGGAGGAACACCGGUGGCGAAAGCGGCUCUCUGGUCUGUAACUGACGUUGAGGCUCGAAAGCGUGGGGAGCGAACAGGAUUAGAUACCCCUGUAGUCCCUGUCUCUUAUACA